rnacentral:rRNA from 1 species
CCUACCCUCGAGUGGGGGAAUAACUUCGGGAAACCGAGGCUAAUACCGCAUAAUACCCACGGGUCAAAGGAGCAAUUCGCUUGAGGAGGAGGUCGCGGCCCGAUUAGUUAGUUGGCGGGGUAAUGGCCCCACCAAGACGGUGAUCGGUAUCCGGCCUGAGAGGGCGCACGGACACACUGGAACUGAAACACGGUCCAGACUCCUACGGGAGGCAGCAGUGGGGAAUUUUGCGCAAUGGGGGAAACCCUGACGCAGCAACGCCGCGUGGAGGAUGAAGUCUCUUGGGACGUAAACUCCUUUCGAUCGGGACGAUUAUGACGGUACCGGAAGAAGAAGCCCCGGCUAACUUCGUG